CCUAAUAAGAGACGAGAUGGGCCAGGGCGACGAGAGCGACCGCAUUGUGAUCAACGUGGGAGGGACUAGGCACCAGACUUACCGCAGCACCCUACGCACCCUGCCCGGCACUCGGCUGGCCUGGAUCGCCGAACCCGAUGCCCACAGCCACUUCGACUAUGACCCCCGCACGGAUGAGUUUUUCUUUGACCGGCACCCGGGCGUCUUUGCCCACAUCCUGAAUUACUACCGCACCGGCAAGCUGCACUGCCCCGCGGACGUCUGUGGGCCCCUCUAUGAGGAGGAGCUGGCCUUCUGGGGCAUCGAUGAGACCGAUGUGGAGCCCUGCUGUUGGAUGACCUACCGGCAGCACCGCGACGCCGAAGAGGCUCUGGACAGCUUUGGUGGGGCGCCCCUGGAUAGCAGUGCUGAGGACGGAGACAUAGAUGGCACCGGAGACUCUGGUGAUGGGGAAGAGGAGCUGGAGAUGACAAAACGCCUAGCACUUAGUGACUCCCCAGAUGGCAGGUCUGGGGGCUUCUGGAGACGGUGGCAGCCCCGCAUCUGGGCACUCUUUGAGGAUCCCUACUCCUCCAGAUAUGCAAGG